rnacentral:rRNA from 1 species
GGGCCCGCACAAGCAGUGGAUUAUGUGGUUUAAUUCGACGCAACGCGAAGAACCUUACCAGGAUUUGACAUCCCACUAACGAAGUAGAGAUACAUUAGGUGCCCUUCGGGGAAAGUGGAGACAGGUGGUGCAUGGUUGUCGUCAGCUCGUGUCGUGAGAUGUUGGGUUAAGUCCCGCAACGAGCGCAACCCUUAUUGUUAGUUGCUACGAAAGAGCACUCUAGCAAGACUGCCGUUGACAAAACGGAGGAAGGCGGGGACGACGUCAAAUCAUCAUGCCCCUUACGUCCUGGGCUACACACGUAAUACAAUGGCGAUCAACAGAGGGAGGCAAUACCGCGAGGUGGAGCAAACCCCUAAAAGUCGUCUCAGUUCGGACUGCAGUCUGCAACUCGACUGCACGAAGUCGGAAUUGCUAGUAAUCGCGGAUCAGCAUGCCGCGGUGAAUACGUUCCCGGGCCUU